AUUGAACGCUGGCGGCAUGCCUUACACAUGCAAGUCGAACGGCAGCACGGGAGCAAUCCUGGUGGCGAGUGGCGAACGGGUGAGUAAAGUAUCGGAACGUGCCCAGUCGUGGGGGAUAACGUAGCGAAAGUUACGCUAAUACCGCAUACGAUCUAUGGAUGAAAGCGGGGGAUCGCAAGACCUCGCGCGAUUGGAGCGGCCGAUAUCAGAUUAGGUAGUGGGUGGGGUAAAGGCUCACCAAGCCGACGAUCUGUAGCUGGUCUGAGAGGACGACCAGCCACACUGGGACUGAGACACGGCCCAGACUCCUACGGGAGGCAGCAGUGGGGAAUUUUGGACAAUGGGCGAAAGCCUGAUCCAGCCAUGCCACGUGCAGGAUGAAGGCCUUCGGGUUGUAAACUGCUUUUGUACGGAACGAAAAGGUUUGGCCUAAUAAGCUGAGCUCAUGACGGUACCGUAAGAAUAAGCACCGGCUAACUACGUGCCAGCAGCCGCCGUAA
rnacentral:rRNA from 1 species